rnacentral:rRNA from 1 species
UGGGGAAUUUUGCGCAAUGGGGGAAACCCUGGCGCAGCGACGCCGCGUGGAGGAUGAAGGCCUUCGGGUUGUAAACUCCUUUUCUUAGGGAAAAUAAUGAUGGUACCUAAGGAAUAAGCCACGGCUAACUCUGUGCCAGCAGCCGCGGUAAGACAGAGGUGGCGAGCGUUGUUCGGAAUUACUGGGCUUAAAGGGCGAGUAGGCGGUGGAGCAAGUCUGAGGUGGAAUCCUAUGGCUUAACCAUAGAACUGCCUUGGAUACUGUUUCACUUGAGUCAGUGAGGGGAGGGCGGAAUUCCCGGUGUAGCGGUGAAAUGCGUAGAUAUCGGGAGGAAGGCCAGUGGCGAAGGCGGCCCUCUGGUGCUGAACUGACGCUGAGGCGCGAAAGCGUGGGGAGCAAACAG